AGCUACGGCCACACCGCCUGGUUCACGCCCGAUCUCGUUUGAUCUCGGAAGCUAAGAUAGGUUGGGCCUGGUUAGUACUUGGAUGGGAGACCGCCUAGGAAUACCAGGUGCUGUAAGGC
ensembl:rRNA 5S_rRNA 5S ribosomal RNA